CCUGCCGUCUACUCUUGGACAGCCUUCUGAAAGGAAGAUUAAUACAAGAUGGCAUCAUGAGUCCGCAUGUUCACAUGAUUAAAGGUAUUCCGGUAGACGAUGGGGAGUGCGUUCCAUUAGAUAGUAGGCGGGGUAACGGCCCACCUAGUCUUCGAUGGAUAGGGGUUCUGAGAGGAAGGUCCCCCACAUUGGAACUGAGACACGGUCCAAACUCCUACGGGAGGCAGCAUG
rnacentral:rRNA from 1 species